rnacentral:rRNA from 1 species
UUAAGCGACUAAGCGUACACGGUGGAUGCCCUGGCAGUCAGAGGCGAUGAAGGACGUGCUAAUCUGCGAAAAGCGUCGGUAAGGUGAUAUGAACCGUUAUAACCGGCGAUGUCCGAAUGGGGAAACCCAGUGUGAUUCGUCACACUAUCGUUAACUGAAUACAUAGGUUAACGAGGCGAACCGGGGGAACUGAAACAUCUAAGUACCCCGAGGAAAAGAAAUCAACCGAGAUUCCCCCAGUAGCGGCGAGCGAACGGGGAGCAGCCCAGAGUCUGAAUCAGCUUGUGUGUUAGUGGAACGGUCUGGAAAGUCCGACGGUACAGGGUGAUAGUCCCGUACACCAAAAUGCACAGGCUGUGAACUCGAAGAGUAGGGCGGGACACGUGGUAUCCUGUCUGAAUAUGGGGGGACCAUCCUCCAAGGCUAAAUACUCCUGACUGACCGAUAGUGAACCAGUACCGUGAGGGAAAGGCGAAAAGAACCCCGGCGAGGGGAGUGAAAAAGAACCUGAAACCGUGUACGUACAAGCAGUGGGAGCACCUUCGGGUGUGACUGCGUACCUUUUGUAUAAUGGGUCAGCGACUUAUAUUCUGUAGCAAGGUUAACCGUAUAGGGGAGCCGCAGGGAAACCGAGUCUUAACUGGGCGUUAAGUUGCAGGGUAUAGACCCGAAACCCGGUGAUCUAGCCAUGGGCAGGUUGAAGGUUGGGUAACACUAACUGGAGGACCGAACCGACUAAUGUUGAAAAAUUAGCGGAUGACUUGUGGCUGGGGGUGAAAGGCCAAUCAAACCGGGAGAUAGCUGGUUCUCCCCGAAAGCUAUUUAGGUAGCGCCUCGUGAAUUCAUCUUCGGGGGUAGAGCACUGUUUCGGCUAGGGGGUCAUCCCGACUUACCAACCCGAUGCAAACUACGAAUACCGAAGAAUGUUAUCACGGGAGACACACGGCGGGUGCUAACGUCCGUCGUGAAGAGGGAAACAACCCAGACCGCCAGCUAAGGUCCCAAAGUCAUGGUUAAGUGGGAAACGAUGUGGGAAGGCACAGACAGCCAGGAUGUUGGCUUAGAAGCAGCCAUCAUUUAAAGAAAGCGUAAUAGCUCACUGGUCGAGUCGGCCUGCGCGGAAGAUGUAACGGGGCUAAACCAUGCACCGAAGCUGCGGCAGCGACACUAUGUGUUGUUGGGUAGGGGAGCGUUCUGUAAGCCUGCGAAGGUGACCUGUGAGGGUUGCUGGAGGUAUCAGAAGUGCGAAUGCUGACAUAAGUAACGAUAAAGCGGGUGAAAAGCCCGCUCGCCGGAAGACCAAGGGUUCCUGUCCAACGUUAAUCGGGGCAGGGUGAGUCGACCCCUAAGGCGAGGCCGAAAGGCGUAGUCGAUGGGAAACAGGUUAAUAUUCCUGUACUUGGUGUUACUGCGAAGGGGGGACGGAGAAGGCUAUGUUAGCCGGGCGACGGUUGUCCCGGUUUAAGCAUGUAGGCUGAUUGUCCAGGCAAAUCCGGAUAAUCAAGGCUGAGGUGUGAUGACGAGGCACUACGGUGCUGAAGUAACAAAUGCCCUGCUUCCAGGAAAAGCCUCUAAGCAUCAGGUAACAUUAAAUCGUACCCCAAACCGACACAGGUGGUCAGGUAGAGAAUACCAAGGCGCUUGAGAGAACUCGGGUGAAGGAACUAGGCAAAAUGGUGCCGUAACUUCGGGAGAAGGCACGCUGGUGUGUAGGUGAAGCCCCUGCGGGUGGAGCUGAGACCAGUCGAAGAUACCAGCUGGCUGCAACUGUUUAUUAAAAACACAGCACUGUGCAAACACGAAAGUGGACGUAUACGGUGUGACGCCUGCCCGGUGCCGGAAGGUUAAUUGAUGGGGUUAUCCGUAAGGAGAAGCUCUUGAUCGAAGCCCCGGUAAACGGCGGCCGUAACUAUAACGGUCCUAAGGUAGCGAAAUUCCUUGUCGGGUAAGUUCCGACCUGCACGAAUGGCGUAAUGAUGGCCAGGCUGUCUCCACCCGAGACUCAGUGAAAUUGAACUCGCUGUGAAGAUGCAGUGUACCCGCGGCAAGACGGAAAGACCCCGUGAACCUUUACUAUAGCUUGACACUGAACAUUGAGCCUUGAUGUGUAGGAUAGGUGGGAGGCUUUGAAGCGUGGACGCCAGUCUGCGUGGAGCCAACCUUGAAAUACCACCCUUUAAUGUUUGAUGUUCUAACGUUGGCCCCUGACCGGGGUUGCGGACAGUGUCUGGUGGGUAGUUUGACUGGGGCGGUCUCCUCCCAAAGCGUAACGGAGGAGCACGAAGGUUAGCUAAUCCUGGUCGGACAUCAGGAGGUUAGUGCAAUGGCAUAAGCUAGCUUGACUGCGAGCGUGACGGCGCGAGCAGGUGCGAAAGCAGGUCAUAGUGAUCCGGUGGUUCUGAAUGGAAGGGCCAUCGCUCAACGGAUAAAAGGUACUCCGGGGAUAACAGGCUGAUACCGCCCAAGAGUUCAUAUCGACGGCGGUGUUUGGCACCUCGAUGUCGGCUCAUCACAUCCUGGGGCUGAAGUAGGUCCCAAGGGUAUGGCUGUUCGCCAUUUAAAGUGGUACGCGAGCUGGGUUUAGAACGUCGUGAGACAGUUCGGUCCCUAUCUGCCGUGGGCGCUGGAGAAUUGAGGGGGGCUGCUCCUAGUACGAGAGGACCGGAGUGGACGCAUCACUGGUGUUCGGGUUGUCAUGCCAAUGGCACUGCCCGGUAGCUAAAUGCGGAAGAGAUAAGUGCUGAAAGCAUCUAAGCACGAAACUUGCCCCGAGAUGAGUUCUCCCUGAGACUUUAAGUCUCCUGAAGGAACGUUGAAGACGACGACGUUGAUAGGCCGGGUGUGUAAGCGCAGCGAUGCGUUGAGCUAACCGGUACUAAUGAACCGUGAGGCUUAACCUU